rnacentral:rRNA from 1 species
ACUAACAAGGAUUCCCCUAGUAACGGCGAGUGAAGCGGGAAGAGCUCAAAUUUGAAAUCUGGCAGUCUUCGAUUGUCCGAGUUGUAAUCUAUAGAGGCGUUUUCCGUGCCGGACCGUGUCCAAGUCUCCUGGAAAGGAGUAUCAAAGAGGGUGAUAAUCCCGUACUUAACACGACCACCGGUGCUCUGUGAUACGUCUUCUACGAGUCGAGUUGUUUGGGAAUGCAGCUCAAAAUGGGUGGUGAAUUCCAUCUAAAGCUAAAUAUUGGCGAGAGACCGAUAGCGAACAAGUACCGUGAGGGAAAGAUGAAAAGCACUUUGGAAAGAGAGUUAAACAGUACGUGAAAUUGUUGAAAGGGAAACGAUUGAAGUCAGUCGUGUUCUUUGGAUUCAGCCAGUUCUGCUGGUCUACUUCCUUGGAACGGGUCAACAUCAGUUUUGUCCGGUGGAUAAAGGUAGUAGGAAUGUGACUUCUCCGGAAGUGUUAUAGCCUAUUAUCACAUACACUGGGUGAGACUGAGGACUGCAGCUCGCCUUUAUGGCCGGCCUUCGGGCACGUUCGAGCUUAGGAUGUUGACAUAAUGGCUUUAAAC